rnacentral:tRNA from 1 species
AAAGACCUAUAGGACCUUUUCCUACAUCAU